AAGCGUGCGCAGGCGGUUUUGUAAGACUGUCGUGAAAUCCCCGGGCCUCAACCUGGGAAUGGCGAUGGUGACUGCAAGGCUAGAGUUUGGCAGAGGGGGGUAGAAUUCCACGUGUAGCAGUGAAAUGCGUAGAUAUGUGGAGGAACACCGAUGGCGAAGGCAGCCCCCUGGGUCAAAACUGACGCUCAUGCACGAAAGCGUGGGGAGCAAACAGGAUUAGAUACCCGAGU
rnacentral:rRNA from 1 species